rnacentral:hammerhead_ribozyme from 1 species
AUCCAGCUGAUAAGUCCCAAAUAGGACGAAAUGCACGUUACCCUGGAU